rnacentral:rRNA from 1 species
UACAGAGGGUGCGAGCGUUGUCCGGAAUCACUGGGCGUAAAGGGCGCGUAGGUGGUGACCUAAGCGUGCGGUGAAAGCCCGAGGCUCAACCUCGGGCGGCCGUGCGAACUGGGUCACUGGAGCAGAAUAGAGGCAGGUGGAAUUCCGGGUGUAGCGGUGGAAUGCGUAGAGAUCCGGAAGAACACCGGUGGCGAAGGCGGCCUGCUGGGUUCUGGCUGACACUGAGGCGCGACAGCGUGGGGAGCAAACAGG